GACGUAGGGGCGAGCGUUGUCCGGAAUUACUGGGCGUAAAGAGCACGUAGGCGGGAACUUAAGUCAGGUGUGAAAGACCGUGGCUCAACCACGGGUAUGCAUUUGAAACUGGGUUUCUUGAGGGCAGGAGAGGAAAGCAGAAUUCCUGGUGUAGCGGUGAAAUGCGUAGAAAUCAGGAGGAACACCAAUGGCGAAGGCAGGUCUCUGGGCAGUUACUGACGCUGAGGAGCGAAAGCAUGGGUAGCGAACAGGAUUAGAUACCUGUGUA
rnacentral:rRNA from 1 species